rnacentral:tRNA from 2 species
GUCCCCAUCGUCUAGAGGCCCAGGACACAACCCUUUCACGGUUGGUACAGCGGUUCGAAUCCGCUUGGGGACGCCA